ACAAGCACUAGAAAAUGAAAAGUAUUGCAGAGCAUGAGUUUCUGAAGGAUGAUCAAGUAAGACAAAUAACUGUAGAGGUGUAUGGAUUGGAGGAGAGGAUUUGUUGUGAAGUGUCUUGGUGUGGUGCAGCUCAGGAUUUUGCCAGUGAACCACGUUGGAAGAAAUGCCCAGCGUCUUGCAGAGUUCCCUCCCCAAACACAGCUCUUCACUCCGGCGCACAGUGAGAGAGAAGAGUCAUCAUGGAGGUGUAUCGACUUACUUCUACUUACAUCCUGGAAAUUCAGAGCUUUGCAACUUGACAGUAGCCGGGGCUUGUACUUGAGGACCAGAAUAAAUGUUCUCACUUCAUCAGUAGGCUCAGGGAAUUUAGAUCAAUUUAACCAUCCCUCUCAUGUAUCUGGUAAAGACAGGAAUAAACUGCGAAGCCUCUUGAA